AUAAAUCGCACGUCGUGAUCGCGUCGUAUAAGGUCGGACAAAAUACGUGACAUAUGGACACCUCUAUCCGGAACCAUAAAGUGUUUCGGGUGAAAAAUCGGACUGGUCAACGGUCGUUAUUGCGUUUCACUUCGUUAUGGCCAGCGGCUACAACGUACCUGUGUAAAUGGAACCGGAAUAGUGAAAUGCCGAUCCAUGUUCGAGUUCAUGACGUAGGCGUAUCACCAUUUCGAACGAUAAUUAAUUUGAGCACCCCCAGUAUUUGAGCUAUAGUUGCGCCAAUGAAUAGGUAAACCAUUUCAUUGUGGAACACCAAAACACUACAUGAAUCAUCUUGUAGUAAGAAAACAGCCAUACUAAAAAAGAAUAUGAAAUUUGUUUACAUGGAGAACAUAUAGGAACCAAAAGUUUAAUCUAAUCUAAAGCUUAGGACAUCGAAAUUAAUCACUACCGUACCCGUAAACGUAUAGUUUACGUACAUCGUAUCAUCUCGACGCAUCGUUUCCGCAUGUUUCGCUUUCAGUCUUUGUCGUCUAUGGCAAUGUUUUUCUACCGGGGGUACGCAAAAAGAUACGAGAGGGUACUCGGGAAAAAAAGGGCAAAGAUGGAAAGUACAAAUUGACAGUUUUACGAGUACGUAAAGCAACGGCGAGAGGUCAAGGGGUACGCGAAUGAAGAAAUGAAAGAGAAACGCUGGUCCACGGUACACGACGGCUUCGCAAUAUUACAUUAUUCGUUGCGAGCGACGGAAUCCAAACGUGUAAUUUGACGGACCUAAGAACGCCGGAAAUGGUCGGUUGCCCGUGGACGUGACCGAAAUCGGCCAGGGAUUGCCGCCGUCACCUCGUUGCACUAAUCUUUUCGUUGACAACCUAAAUGUGUACAACGUACAUGACGUCUCACUUUGCGGCCGUGCGAAAUCAAUACUGUACGUACAUAAUUUAUGUCUACACUGUGACGGCCACGACUCCGGAAGGCCCUUCGGACAAACUAUCCAUUAUCGUUCACACGCGCACACGCACACAUCCGGGCACGACAUCGGCGUAAUUUGCAAUUGCAGUUGUUUGGACUUUUGGGGUGUACUUACUGAAAACAAUGACGUUGCACUGUACUGUAUCAGUAAUGAAAAUAAAUGUUUAUUAAAAAAAAAAAAAAUUCGUUUAUAAAUUCGAUCAAAUUUAUGAUUAUAUAGUAUUAUUAAUAGUAAAUCUGUACCAUUAGUUUUAAACCAUA